rnacentral:lncRNA from 1 species
CAGAUCCUUGCACACCCAUGUCCCUAGCAGCAUUAUUCACAGUACCCCGAAGCGGGAAGGUAACCUAAGUGUCCAUCAACAGGUGGACGGAUAAAAAAAAUAUGUCAGACACAUACAAUGGAAUAGUAUUCAGCCUUAAAAGGAAGGAAAUUCUGACACAUGCUGCAGCAUGGAUGAGCCUUGAUGACAAUAUGCUAAAGUAAGUAAGCCAGUCACAAAAAGGUAAAUACCGUAUGAUACCACUUACACGAGGUACCUAGAGAAUAGUCAGAUGUCAGGAGACAGCCCCUGGUGGGGAGGAGCGGUGAGAGGGGAGCUGUUGUUUAACGGGUAUUGCAAGUUUUGCAAGAUGAGUUCUGGAGAUGCAGGGUGGUGAUGGUUUUGCAACAUUGUGAGUGUAUUAAAUCCCACUGACUUGGGCAUGUAAAAAUGGCUAGUGAGGGAAAUUUUACUUUAUGUGUAUUUUCCCACAGUUUGAAAUCGUUUUUCAAUGAUGCUGAUGCAGGGCCAGCCUAACUGAAUCAGACCCUCUGAGAGUGGGGCUUGGGCUCAGGCAUUCUGUAAAAGCUCCCUGGGGUUUUCUGCUGCACUGUGGGUGUUAUGGAGUUUGGCUCUAGAACCAUAGGCCUCCGUCCUGGCCCUCCUCUGGAAACGCUCAUCUUCAGGACCAAAUGUCAUUUGCUAGUUUGAGCCAAAAUAAAAAGGAAAGUCACUGGCAUUACCUCCUGCGCAUAUUCUCUUGAGCAUAUUCUUCUUGGAGAAAAGAAAAGAUGCUUCUGUCUUGGGUUUGCCAGCAAGAAAGAGUCUUCUGUGUGCUUUAUUCUAAUCUGAAACAAACCUCACUCUGAAUUCUCUGACCCAGGGGGAAAAAAAAAAAGCUCUGGUAUCUGGAGAAAGCAAAUGGAUCCCAGGCUCCAAUCAAGAGAAGAAUGCCUGGGGAAUCAGAAGAACAUUAUGGUGUCGUAUAAAUUUCUGCCCUGCAGGUCCCUGGGGUACCUCGGAGGCCACACCAGUGCCAACAAGAGGAAUUCCUGAAGGAUUGGCUGAGACCUCAUUUACAACCACUGGUGAGUCAACUUCUCUGCCUAAUCCUGCCUUCC